AAAAACCCCCAAUUUUUGUUUGGAGGAAUUUUUCAUCUACCCGAAUUUUUGGAUUGCCGCCUAUAGAGCCCUAAAUCAAACGGAAACAGCAACGGUCGUGAACAGCAGCAGCAACAACAGUUCGACGGCAGCAGCGACGCGACGACAGCGCCAUUCGUUGGCUACAGCAACAAUCGCGAACGACAGCCGCAACAACAGCCGCGACGCAACAACAACGCCUCCUCUCUCACAAUCUUUCUCACACCACACCACGAUUUCUCCACGGGAUGGCGAACAAUGGGGAAGAUUUCUCCCAAUUCGGCAUUUCAAAGGAGGAAAAGGAUAAGCUUGUUGGAGAAGUAAUCCGCUACAUGCUUUUCAAAACCCAUCAAAAUUCUGGGUGCCCAAUUAAGAGAGAUGAACUAACUCAGCUCAUUACAAAGAAUUAUCAUCAGCGUAACCUUCCUAGUUUUGUCAUCAAUGAGGCUAAGGGCAAGCUUUCUACUGUGUUUGGCUAUGAAAUGAGAGAACUUUCAAGGUCUCUCCCAUCAUCCAAAUCUCAGACACGCGCUUCGCAACAAAGUGUUGCAGAUUCCAAAUCAUAUAUUCUGACAAGUCAACUUCCUCCUGAUUUAUAUGAAAAAUAUGUUGUGGAUGCGAAUACAGCGUACAUGACUGGUUUCACGUUUGUCAUAAUUAGUAUUGUACAUCUUGCUGGUGGCAAAAUUCCAGAAGAAAGUCUGUGGAGCCAAUUGAAUAGGAUGAGUUUGAGUGACAGUGAAGCAAGUCAUCCCGUCCUUGGAAACGUUAAGCAAGCAUUGGAACUUCUUGUUCAGCAAAGGUAUUUACAAAAGGACAAAGUUAAUGGUCCUGAAGGCAAUACCAUAUACUAUGAGCUUGCUGAGAGAGCUUCAGACGGACCUAUCAGCGACAAGGUCAAGGAAUAUAUAUCUCAGAUUAUGACGGACACUGCCGAACAGUAGCUAGCACGUGAGUACCAAUUGAGAUGAUACCAACUUGAUUGCAACUUAAUCUUGAUCAAUUUGAGAUUAUGACGGACACUGCCGAACAGUAGCUAGCACGUGAGUACCAAUUGAGAUGAUACCAACUUGAUUGCAACUUAAUCUUGAUCAAUUUGAGGUUUAAGCUCUGCAAGAAUAUCAAUCUACAUUUUGUCACGUCAUCAAAUUCUGCCUAAACUGGAUGUAUAAAUAUUUGUAAUAUGCAUUAGUAAUAUUAGCCAAAGCAGAAAUUUUCUUGACUUUUGAGUUUAUCUCCUUGAUAUGUAAUUAAGCAUAAUCAUUACACUUAACAAGUUGCGAUGAAAUGGUUAACUAGUAGUUUUACUUGUA